rnacentral:rRNA from 1 species
UGGGGAAUUUUGGACAAUGGGCGAAAGCCUGAUCCAGCAAUGCCGCGUGUGUGAAAAGGCCUUCGGGUUGUAAAGCACUUUUGUCCGGAAAGAAAUCCUUGGCUCUAAUACAGUCGGGGGAUGACGGUACCGGAAGAAUAAGCACCGGCUAACUACGUGCCAGCAGCCGCGGUAAUACGUAGGGUGCAAGCGUUAAUCGGAAUUACUGGGCGUAAAGCGUGCGCAGGCGGUUUGCUAAGACCGAUGUGAAAUCCCCGGGCUCAACCUGGGAACUGCAUUGGUGACUGGCAGGCUAGAGUAUGGCAGAGGGGGGUAGAAUUCCACGUGUAGCAGUGAAAUGCGUAGAGAUGUGGAGGAAUACCGAUGGCGAAGGCAGCCCCCUGGGCCAAUACUGACGCUCAUGCACGAAAGCGUGGGGGAGCAAAACAGGAUUAGAUACCCUGGUAGUCCACGCCCUAAACGAUGUCAACUAGUUGUUGGGGAUUCAUUUCCUUAGUAACGUAGCUAACGCGUGAAGUUGACCGCCUGGGGAGUACGGUCGCAAGAUUAAAACUCAAAGGAAUUGACGGGGUCAUAGCUGUUUCCU